UCAUUGAAUAAUUUUUUUUUGUUGUUUUUGUGAUUUUUUUAUUAAAGUAGUUUUAUUGGGUUUUUUUUUAGUAGUUUAUUUUGAAAUACUUGUUGUAAAUUAUAGUUUAUUUUUAAUGUAAAUGAUUUUUUUUAUUAUGUUGAAAGAAUUUUAUUUAUUUUACCUUUUGUAUCAGGGUUGAUCAAAUAAUUUGAUUUAAUUAUCUUUUCUCGAAUUGGGGUGAUUUACUUUAAUAUGAUUUUUCAUGUUUCAUAAUGAUUUUUAAUUUUAACGUGGUAGUGAUAUUCUAUUCGUACUUCAAGAUAUCUAGUUUUCUGAGAUUAAAUUUAAUUUUAAUCUAAUUUUAAAUUAAAUAAUUUUUUAUUUAUUUUUUAAUUAGGUUGUAUUACUUAAGGGUUAAGCUUUGAGGUUGUAUUAUAAUUUUUUUUUUUAAUUUUUUUUAUAGGCUUGGAAUCGGCCAUUAUUUUAAUUACGUUUUAGUUUAAUUUAUGAUGUAAUUAUUUAUUAUUUUAUUUAGUUUUAUUAUUGGAAUUUGAUCUUAAAUAUUUUAUGUUCAUUAAUAAUGAUUGAAUUAGUAUAUUUUAUUGUUUAUAAUUUUUUUUAUAUGUAAUAUAUUUUAAAGGAACUCGGCAAUUUUUUGGUAUUUCCGCCUGUUUAUCAAAAACAUCUCUUUCAGAUUUUAUUGGAAGUUGUGCCUGCUCACUGAAAAUUAAAGAGCCGCGGUAUUUUGACCGUGCAAAGGUAGCAUAAUCAUUAGUAUAUUAAUUGUAUACUGGAAUGAAAGGUUUGACGAGAAAUACACUGUCUCUAUUAUAUUUAUAUAAUUUUACCUUCUAGUUAAAAGGCUGGGAUUUAUUUUUAGGACGAUAAGACCCUAUAGAGUUUGAUUUUAUUUAUUUUAUUAUUUUGGGUUAAUUUUUAUUAAUUAAUUUUAUUAUAAAUUUUGUUGGGGUGAUGUGAAUAAUAGAUAAACUAUUCAUUUUUUUUUUCAUUGAUUUAUGUUUUUUAUGAUCUUGUAUUAUUGAUAUUAAGAUAAAAUUACCUUAGGGAUAACAGCGCAAUUAUCUUUGAGAGUUCUUAUUGACAAGAUAGAUUGUGACCUCGAUGUUGGAUUAAGGUUGUUUUUAGGUGAAGGUGCUUAAUUAAAUUGGUCUGUUCGACCAUUAAAAUCUUACAUGAUCUGAGUUCAGACCGGCGUGAGCCAGGUUGGUUUCUAUCCAAAAUUUUUUUAUAUUUUCUAGUACGAAAGGACCGUUAAUUUUGAUUAUUUUAUUUUUUUUAUUGAUUAUUAUU
rnacentral:rRNA from 1 species